UGCCCAGUGUCCUGCACUCUGCACC
rnacentral:piRNA from 1 species